UACAGAGGUCUCAAGCGUUGUUCGGAUUCAUUGGGCGUAAAGGGUGCGUAGGCGGCGCGGUAAGUCGGGUGUGAAAUCUUGGAGCUUAACUCCGAAACUGCAUUCGAUACUGCCGUGCUUGAGGACUGGAGAGGAGACUGGAAUUUACGGUGUAGCGGUGAAAUGCGUAGAUAUCGUAAGGAAGACCAGUGGCGAAGGCGGGUCUCUGGACAGUUCCUGACGCUGAGGCCCGAAGGCCAGGGGAGCAAACGGG
rnacentral:rRNA from 1 species